CUCCUCUCAGGAUGGCACCUGCAGAGUUUCCAGGACUGUACCAGUCUCAGCUCUGGGAGGGAGAGUCAAGCAGAGGUAUUACCAUUCCACUCCCAGCUUGGCCAGUGGCUGGCGAGUGGAAGGCCAUCUGCUAUAUGU